rnacentral:rRNA from 1 species
UACGUAGGGUGCAGGCGUUAAUCGGAAUUACUGGGCGUAAAGCGUGCGCAGGCGGUUUGCUAAGACAGGUGUGAAAUCCCCGGGCUUAACCUGGGAACUGCGCUUGUAACUGGCAAGCUGGAGUGUGGCAGAGGGGGGGUGGAAUUCCACGUGUAGCAGUGAAAUGCGUAGAGAUGUGGAGGAACACCGAUGGCGAAGGCAGCCCCCUGGGCUAACACUGACGCUCAUGCACGAAAGCGUGGGGAGCAAACAGGAUUAGAU